GUGAUAACCUACCUAUAAGACUGGGAUAACUUCGGGAAACCGGAGCUAAUACCGGAUAAUAUUUUGAACCGCAUGGUUCAAAAGUGAAAGACGGUCUUGCUGUCACUUAUAGAUGGAUCCGCGCUGCAUUAGCUAGUUGGUAAGGUAACGGCUUACCAAGGCAACGAUGCAUAGCCGACCUGAGAGGGUGAUCGGCCACACUGGAACUGAGACACGGUCCAG
rnacentral:rRNA from 1 species